rnacentral:rRNA from 1 species
AUUGAACGCUGGCGGCAUGCUUUACACAUGCAAGUCGAACGGUAACAGGCCUUCGGGUGCUGACGAGUGGCGAACGGGUGCGUAAUGCAUCGGAACGUGCCCAGAGGUGGGGGAUAACGCAGCGAAAGCUGUGCUAAUACCGCAUGUGAUCUGAGGAUGAAAGCGGGGGACCAGGCAGCAAUGUUUGGCCUCGCGCCUUUGGAGCGGCCGAUGUCAGAUUAGGUAGUUGGUGGGGUAAAGGCCUACCAAGCCGACGAUCUGUAGCUGGUCUGAGAGGACGACCAGCCACACUGGGACUGAGACACGGCCCAGACUCCUACGGGAGGCAGCAGUGGGGAAUUUUGGACAAUGGGCGCAAGCCUGAUCCAGCAAUGCCGCGUGCGGGAAGAAGGCCUUCGGGUUGUAAACCGCUUUUGUACGGAACGAAAAGGCUCUGGCUAAUACCUGGGGCUGAUGACGUUACCGUAAGAAUAAGCACCGGCUAACUACGUG